rnacentral:rRNA from 1 species
UACGUAGGGUGCAGGCGUUAAUCGGAAUUACUGGGCGUAAAGGGCGCGUAGGCGGCCUGCCAAGUCGGAUGUGAAAUCCCUCGGCUCAACCGAGGAACUGCAUCCGAUACUGGCGGGCUUGAAUCCGGGAGAGGGAUGUGGAAUUCCAGGUGUAGCGGUGAAAUGCGUAGAUAUCUGGAGGAACACCGGUGGCGAAGGCGGCAUCCUGGACCGGUAUUGACGCUGAGGCGCGAAAGCUAGGGGAGCAAACGGG